GCCCGGCCAAGGGCGUUGCGGGCGGCACGGAGCCCACGGGAGGGCGGGGUGCAAGGCCGGGGCGGGGUGCAAGGCCGGGGCGGGGCCUCUGCGCCCGGGCCGCCUCUUCUGGGCUAUAAAAGCAGCAUGCGGGCUGCUCCAGGCCACCACGCAUUGGGCCAGAACGAGUACCCUUUCUUCUCUCGCUUUGGAUCUCAAGUCUCACCGCUGAUCGAAAUGGACCCCAACUGCUCCUGCGCCACUGGUGGCUCCUGCGCCUGUGCUGGCUCCUGCAAAUGCAAAGAGUGCAAAUGCACCUCCUGCAA